CUUAACACAUGCAAGUCGAGGGGCAGCAUGGUCUUAGCUUGCUAAGGCCGAUGGCGACCGGCGCACGGGUGAGUAACACGUAUCCAACCUGCCGUCUACUCUUGGACAGCCUUCUGAAAGGAAGAUUAAUACAAGAUGGCAUCAUGAGUCCGCAUGUUCACAUGAUUAAAGGUAUUCCGGUAGACGAUGGGGAUGCGUUCCAUUAGAUAGUAGGCGGGGUAACGGCCCACCUAGUCUUCGAUGGAUAGGGGUUCUGAGAGGAAGGUCCCCCACAUUGGAACUGAGACACGGUCCAAACUCCUACGGGAGGCAGCAGUGAGGAAUAUUGGUCAAUGGGCGAGAGCCUGAACCAGCCAAGUAGCGUGAAGGAUGACUGCCCUAUGGGUUGUAAACUUCUUUUAUAAAGGAAUAAAGUCGGGUAUGCAUACCCGUUUGCAUGUACUUUAUGAAUAAGGAUCGGCUAACUCCGUGCCAGCAGCCGCGGUAAUACGGAGGAUCCGAGCGUUAUCCGGAUUUAUUGGGUUUAAAGGGAGCGUAGAUGGAUGUUUAAGUCAGUUGUGAAAGUUUGCGGCUCAACCGUAAAAUUGCAGUUGAUACUGGAUAUCUUGAGUGCAGUUGAGGCAGGCGGAAUUCGUGGUGUAGCGGUGAAAUGCUUAGAUAUCACGAAGAACUCCGAUUGCGAAGGCAGCCUGCUAAGCUGCAACUGACAUUGAGGCUCGAAAGUGUGGGUAUCAAACAGGAUUAGAUACCCUGGUAGUCCACACGGUAAACGAUGAAUACUCGCUGUUUGCGAUAUACAGCAAGCGGCCAAGCGAAAGCGUUAAGUAUUCCACCUGGGGAGUACGCCGGCAACGGUGAAACUCAAAGGAAUUGACGGGGGCCCGCACAAGCGGAGGAACAUGUGGUUUAAUUCGAUGAUACGCGAGGAACCUUACCCGGGCUUAAAUUGCAGAUGAAUUACGGUGAAAGCCGUAAGCCGCAAGGCAUCUGUGAAGGUGCUGCAUGGUUGUCGUCAGCUCGUGCCGUGAGGUGUCGGCUUAAGUGCCAUAACGAGCGCAACCCUUGUUGUCAGUUACUAACAGGUUCCGCUGAGGACUCUGACAAGACUGCCAUCGUAAGAUGUGAGGAAGGUGGGGAUGACGUCAAAUCAGCACGGCCCUUACGUCCGGGGCUACACACGUGUUACAAUGGGGGGGUACAGAGGGCCGCUACCACGCGAGUGGAUGCCAAUCCCAAAAACCUCUCUCAGUUCGGACUGGAGUCUGCAACCCGACUCCACGAAGCUGGAUUCGCUAGUAAUCGCGCAUCAGCCACGGCGCGGUGAAUACGUUCCCGGGCCUUGUACACACCGCCCGUCAAGCCAUGGGAGCCGGGGGUACCUGAAGUGCGUAACCGCGAGGAGCGCCCUAGGGUAAAACUGGUGACUGGGGCUAAGUCA
rnacentral:rRNA from 1 species